AGACCUUAGUUUAGGUAUUGGGGCCAAAGGAUGGAUGACCAUUUCAAACGAUCCAGGCUAAGCCAGGAGGAGAGCUCAAAGUCUGAUCUGCUCUGCUGCCCCCUGCCCCAUACACGUGAUGGAGCAGAAAACGUGCUGUGUGAACCUGUGACUUCAGGGCCUGUUGACGUGGUCGUGCUUGCAUACUCUCUGGACUGGACCUCACUGUGGGAACAACAAGAUCAACAAGAGGAGCAAGAACAACAUCAAGAGUCAGGGCCCGGGGGUCCUGACGGGUACAGGAUGGGUACAGACCCACACAGGAAUCCCAGAGUGUGUUCCACAGCAGGACACGCCUGCGCUGAAAGAGUGGGCAGAAAGGAGCUGACCUGGGAUUAUGAUCCAAACUCAGCUGGGCCUCCCCUACCUGCCCCAGGAUUGUGGAGUGAGAACGUUGCAGCAGGGGAGAACAACGCAGCAAAGCACAGCAGGGGAACCGGAAAUGCUCACCCUUUGACAGGACCAAACCAAUGCACAACUCCUACGUACUGAUGGUGGUCUUACGUUUCCCUAAGUUUCUGCCGACUAAACUGUGCACACGUUCUCAGGACCUCCUGAAGCUGCGUCACAGGCGCUGAUCAAAGAACACAACCAAGAGUUUGGCCUUUUCUUCAGCACUGGGAAUUGUGAUCCAAAGCUUUUCCUGAUGAGGCACAAAGUUGGAGAAACAAAACGCAAACUAAGCAACAAUGAAACAGAACAGAGUGAAUCUGCUGUAGCUCAAGAGAGGACGUAGCUGCCCCCACCCCGCAUCCCCGGGCUCGGGUUUGCCUUGCUGACCUCUGCUGCCACCUGGUGCCGCACAGAGAAACUGAGGAGAAACCACAUCAGUCUCCUUCAGCCUCAGCUUCACAUCUGUGGGUCAAGCAACCCUUUCAGAAGCUGAAUAAUGUGGGAAAGCUUUCCUCUCAGGAAAAUGCACACAUCCAACUUUGAGAAGAUGCCCUUGGGGGCGCUUCAAGGAU
rnacentral:lncRNA from 1 species